GACGAACGCUGGCGGCGUGCCUAAUACAUGCAAGUUGAGCGCUGAAGGUUGGUACUUGUACCGACUGGAUGAGCAGCGAACGGGUGAGUAACGCGUGGGGAAUCUGCCUUUGAGCGGGGGACAACAUUUGGAAACGAAUGCUAAUACCGCAUAAAAACUUUAAACACAAGUUUUAAGUUUGAAAGAUGCAAUUGCAUCACUCAAAGAUGAUCCCGCGUUGUAUUAGCUAGUUGGUGAGGUAAAGGCUCACCAAGGCGAAGAUACAUAGCCGACCUGAGAGGGUGAUCGGCCACAUUGGGACUGAGACACGGCCCAAACUCCUACGGGAGGCAGCAGUAGGGAAUCUUCGGCAAUGGACGAAAGUCUGACCGAGCAACGCCGCGGGAGUGAAGAAGGGUUUCGGAUCGUAAAACUCUGUUGGUAGAGAAGAACGUUGGUGAGAGUGGAAAGCUCAUCAAGUGACGGUAACUACCCAGAAAGGGACGGCUAACUACGUG
rnacentral:rRNA from 1 species